AUUGAACGCUGGCGGCAUGCCUUACACAUGCAAGUCGAACGGCAGCACGGGAGCAAUCCUGGCGGCGAGUGGCGAACGGGUGAGUAAAGUAUCGGAACGUGCCCAGUCGAGGGGGAUAACGUAGCGAUAGUUACGCUAAUACCGCAUACGAUCUAUGGAUGAAAGCGGGGGAUCGCAAGACCUCGCGCGAUUGGAGCGGCCGAUAUCAGAUUAGGUAGUUGGUGGGGUAAAGGCUCACCAAGCCGACGAUCUGUAGCUGGUCUGAGAGGACGACCAGCCACACUUGGACUGAGACACGGCCCAGACUCCUACGGGAGGCAGCAGUGGGGAAUUUUGGACAAUGGGCGAAAGCCUGAUCCAGCCAUGCCGCGUGCAGGAUGAAGGCCUUCGGGUUGUAAACUGCUUUUGUACGGAACGAGAAGGUUUGGCCUAAUAAGCUGAGCUCAUGACGGUACCGUAAGAAUAAGCACCGGCUAACUACGUGCCAGCCGCCGCCGUAA
rnacentral:rRNA from 1 species